CCCAAUGUCCAUUACAGUUUGAUGCCACCAUUGCAUGGCAUAAUCUAAAAAUUCUAGGGAAGCUAACUUAACUUUUUGGUCCUCUUCGACCUCAUACACAUUAAAAAUUUGUUCUACCUUAGGUUCUCGUCCUAAGUAUACAUUAGGGUCACUUUCCCCACUAAAACUAAGUAACUUUACAAAAGGAAAAGAAAUCUUUGGUGGUUGGUGUUAAUGGCGCCUUUCUUCAAAAUUAUGCAUUUUCCAAUCUUGUUCUUCUUCUUGACUUCCAUAAUGCAUGUAAUUUUUAGAAGCUCUUCUAGGAUCCCACCUCCUUUCUCUAGUUAGUCUCUUUUGAGUCUCUU
rnacentral:lncRNA from 1 species